UCCUGUGUAGCUCAGUUGGUUGAGCAUGGUGCUUGCAACGCCAGGGUUUUGGGUUCCAUUCCCACAGGGGAC
rfam:Salmo salar isolate Sally breed double haploid chromosome ssa05, whole genome shotgun sequence.